rnacentral:lncRNA from 1 species
CUGUGCACUCAUACUUCCACAAAGUGGAAAGAUAAGAGGCUCAGGGUUAGAACAUAUAUAAACUCAUGCCAGUGGUGAAUGGCUUGGGCAGCUGGACAGUGGCUGGAAAGAAGAAAUAUUAGAAAAUUAGAGUCAAGUGGAUCUGGGCUAGAGCAUGUAAAUAAACAUGAGAGUGGACACAAAGUAUGAAGCUGUUUGUGUCACAUGUUAAUGAUCACCAGAGCAUCCACCAUGGAAGAGACACUAAACAACCAAGGAAACAAAAUGACUUGGCUACUUGAUGUUAGCCAGCCUUUGUCAUCAGCCACCUCAGUGUUUGCACAAUGGGUGCAUGAACAGAAUACCCACGGCGACAGGGAAUGGAGGUUGUGAGUGGACCCAAAAAGAUGAACUUCUCUUACCAAAGCUGAUCCAGCUACUGCCACUGGCAAACUCCACCUUAGUAGACAAGAAGAGGAGUCAUCAACCUGUCGGAAGUAACUGACCUUUGAUGAUGAGGAAGAAGUGGGAGUGCUGUUAAGCGGGAGGACAGGGAGGAUAUGCUUGGUGCCCGGGAGAUCCACUUGGAUGCCUCUUGGUCUGCUGGCAUCCAGGGUGAGGUGUUCCAGAAUGUACGUGAAGAAGUGGAUCUGAGCCGCACAAGACAAAACUGCUGUGAAAACCCUGGUCUCUUCGUUCUCUCUCACUGCAAGCUUCACUUUGGCUUUCUCCAAAUUGAAGGAAACGUGGCUGCCAAAAACGCUAAAGCUCACUGACAUCCUACAGACUUUGCCACCACAACGGUGAAGAAACUGGGUCUCAAAUCAGUGUUCCUAAGAACCAAAUAAAUACUAGUCGAAGUGAAAGUGAAGUUUCAGCCAGGAAGGUCAACAGACGUCUUCAAGAGUGCUUUGAAAACAAGUGGGAAGAAAAUUACCUCCUUGUGGAAAACCUACGGGGCCCUGUCACCUGGAAUAGGUCUAUGAUUUUGGUUUUCACUCAGGCCUCAUUUCCCUUAUAAGAAGAAUGAAAUAAGCUAAUGCAUAAAAGUGGCUUAGCAGACGGCCUGCCACAUGGUCAACUUAAAUAAAAAUGAUUAUUUGCUCUAGGGGGAUUUGGUGAGAUAAUUGUCAAUAAUUGAGAAAUAAGGGAAAUAAGAUUUUUUUCUGAUACUUAACCUUGAAAUUAAAUUCAAAUAAAUGGUGGAACAUUCAUACAAUAUAAUAAUACAUACCUGUUAAAAUGAUAACAUACAUUUGUAGUUAUUGAUAUGGAAAAAGGUC